rnacentral:rRNA from 1 species
AUUGACCGCUGGCGGCAGGCCUAACCCAUGCAAGUCGAACGAGUGGCGGACGGGUGAGUAUUGUUUGGGAAACUGCCUGAUGGAGGGGGUUAAUUACUGGAAACGGUAGCUAAUACCGCAUACCAUAAGUUGUGCCAAGAUGGGAUUAGCUAGCAGGUGGGGUAAUGGUUCACCUAGGCGACGAUCCCUAGCUGGUCUGAGAGGAUGACCAGCCACACUGGAACUGAGACACGGUCCAGACUCCUACGGGAGGCAGCAGUGGGGAAUAUUGCACAAUGGGCGCAAGCCUGAUGCAGCCAUGCCGCGUGUGUGAAGAAGGCCUUCGGGUUGUAAAGCACUUUCAGCGAGGAGGCGUUACUCGCAGAAGAAGCACCGGCUAACUCCGGGCCAGCAGCCGCGGUAAUAC